GGGUUAUCAACCCUAUCCAUCCCAAGGUUACUCUUCAUACUAUCCUGCUGUGAAUAAUGCCUCAUCCUACCCCUACCAGCUAGCUCCACAACCAUCUUAUUCAUCCACUUACCGCCUUAACAUUCAAGCUCCUGUAAGAACCCAAAUUCGUCCUACUCAUCCAGCAAGUGGCUCACGAGAACAACGGACUACUCGAGAAAAACCUGUAUUUGAUCCAAU
rnacentral:lncRNA from 1 species